rnacentral:rRNA from 1 species
UAGGGAAUUUUCCACAAUGGGCGAAAGCCUGAUGGAGCAACGCCGCGUGCAGGAUGAAUGUCUUCGGAUUGUAAACUGCUUUUAUAGGUGAAGACUUCCGACAGUAACCUAUGAAUAAGGGUCGGCUAACUACGUGCCAGCAGCCGCGGUCAUACGUAGGACCCAAGCGUUAUCCGGAAUUACUGGGCGUAAAGAGUUGCGUAGGUGGCAUAGUAAGUAGAUAGUGAAAGCGUGUGGCUCAACCAUAUAUACAUUAUCUAAACUGCUAGGCUAGAGGAUGAGAGAGGUCACUGGAAUUCCAAGUGUAGGAGUGAAAUCCGUAGAUAUUUGGAGGAACACCGAUGGCGUAGGCAGGUGACUGGCUCAUUCCUGACACUAAGGCACGAAAGCGUGGGUAGCAAACGGG